rnacentral:rRNA from 1 species
GACGAACGCUGGCGGCGUGCUUAACACAUGCAAGUCGAACGGAAAGGCCCUGCUUUUGUGGGGUGCUCGAGUGGCGAACGGGUGAGUAACACGUGAGUAACCUGCCCUUGACUUUGGGAUAACUUCAGGAAACUGGGGCUAAUACCGGAUAGGAGCUCCUGCUGCAUGGUGGGGGUUGGAAAGUUUCGGCGGUUGGGGAUGGACUCGCGGCUUAUCAGCUUGUUGGUGGGGUAGUGGCUUACCAAGGCUUUGACGGGUAGCCGGCCUGAGAGGGUGACCGGGCACAAUGGGACUGAGGUACGGCCCAGACUCCUACGGGAGGCAGCAGUGGGGAAUAUUGCACAAUGGGCGGAAGCCUGAUGCAGCAACGCCGCGUGCGGGAUGACGGCCUUCGGGUUGGAAACCGCUUUCGCCUGUGACGAAGCGUGAGUGACGGUAAUGGGUAAAGAAGCACCGGCUAACUACGUG